ensembl:lncRNA
UAACCUACUGGGAAAAGAAAAGGACAUUGAUGUAUAAUGCUAAUCCUAUAACCAAUGAAAGGAACUUUAGGGUCAUCUUUUUGAGAUCAUUGCUCUGAGGUUAGGCCCCAGGUGUUGAGAAGCAUAGACAUUAUAAGGUCUAUUUAGAAGAUUCUGACAGGGCUUCAUUAUCAGGUGACAGGGUGAUGAGGUGGGUGAUAAGAUUGCACCUCAGCUCAGAGGUCAGCCUCAGAUUGAAGAAGGCAAUGUAUUUGACUCUGUGGUAGGGGAGGUGAAUUUUCAGUGACUUCUCUCUGGAGUGAAGAGAUGAGAGCUAAUGAACUUCUAGUCUUAGAUAGCAGACUUCCUCUCCUGGGUAUAAUAUCAAGUCCUAGCCCCAGACUGCUUUCCUCAUUUCCCAAAAGCACCUGAAACGAAAAGGUCAAAUCCCAAGUACUAGAGA